AACGAACGCUGGCGGCAGGCUUAACACAUGCAAGUCGAGCGGGCCCUUCGGGGUCAGCGGCAGACGGGUGAGUAACACGUGGGAACGUACCUUUUGGUUCGGAACAACUCCGGGAAACUGGAGCUAAUACCGGAUAAGCCCUUAGGGGGAAAGAUUUAUCGCCAAAAGAUCGGCCCGCGUCUGAUUAGCUAGUUGGUGGGGUAACGGCCCACCAAGGCGACGAUCAGUAGCUGGUCUGAGAGGAUGAUCAGCCACACUGGGACUGAGACACGGCCCAGACUCGUACGGGAGGCAGCAGUGGGGAAUAUUGGACAAGGGGCGCAAGCCUGACCCAGCCAUGCCGGGUGAGUGAUGAAGGCCUUAGGGUUGUAAAGCUCUUUUGUCCGGGAAGAUAAUGACUGUACCGGAAGAAUAAGCCCCGGCUAACUUCGUG
rnacentral:rRNA from 1 species